CGGCGGACGGGUGAGUAAUGCGUGGGUAACCUGCCUCAUACAGGGGGAUAACAGUUAGAAAUGACUGCUAAUACCGCAUAAGACCACGGUACCGCAUGGUACAGUGGUAAAAACUCCGGUGGUAUGAGAUGGACCCGCGUCUGAUUAGGUAGUUGGUGGGGUAACGGCCUACCAAGCCGACGAUCAGUAGCCGACCUGAGAGGGUGAUCGGCCACAUUGGGACUGAGACACGGCCCAG
rnacentral:rRNA from 1 species